rnacentral:ncRNA from 1 species
AAAACAAAGGAAUAAACACUUCAUAUAUCCUCGAUAAUAAGGUUCGAGAGUCUCUACCGGGGCACCGUAAACGCCCUGACUAUGAAGGUGGGAAUCACCAGC